CAAGGAAUAGUUUAAUAUAUAGAAUACUGGCUUUGGGAGCCAGUGGUGGGGGCGAAAGUCCCUCUUCUUUGA
rnacentral:tRNA from 1 species